rnacentral:rRNA from 1 species
AAUAUUGCACAAUGGAGGGAACUCUGAUGCAGCAACGCCGCGUGAUUGAAGAAGGUUUUCGGAUCGUAAAACUCUUUCAUUGGGGAAGAAUAAAUUACGGUACCAAAUGAGGAAGCCCCGGCUAACUACUAGCCCGCAGCUGCCGGAAUACGUAGGGGGCGAGCGUUGUCCGGAAUUACUGGGCGUCAAGGGUACGUAGGCGCCUAUAUAAGUCAGGUGUGAAAUACCAGUGCUUAACACUGGAAUUGCAUUUGAAACUGUGUAGCUUGAGUGCAGGAGAGGAAAGUGGAAUUCCUAGUGUAGCGGUGAAAUGCGUAGAGAUUAGGAGGAACACCAGUGGCGAAGGCGACUUUCUGGACUGUAACUGACGCUGAGGUACGAAAGCGUGGGUAGCGAACAG